rnacentral:rRNA from 1 species
UUUGAACGCUGGCGGCAGGCCUAACACAUGCAAGUCGAGCGGAUGAAGGGAGCUUGCUCCUGGAUUCAGCGGCGGACGGGUGAGUAAUGCCUAGGAAUCUGCCUGGUAGUGGGGGAUAACGUCCGGAAACGGGCGCUAAUACCGCAUACGUCCUGAGGGAGAAAGUGGGGGAUCUUCGGACCUCACGCUAUCAGAUGAGCCUAGGUCGGAUUAGCUAGUUGGUGGGGUAAAGGCCUACCAAGGCGACGAUCCGUAACUGGUCUGAGAGGAUGAUCAGUCACACUGGAACUGAGACACGGUCCAGACUCCUACGGGAGGCAGCAGUGGGGAAUAUUGGACAAUGGGCGAAAGCCUGAUCCAGCCAUGCCGCGUGUGUGAAGAAGGUCUUCGGAUUGUAAAGCACUUUAAGUUGGGAGGAAGGGCAGUAAGUUAAUACCUUGCUGUUUUGACGUUACCAACAGAAUAAGCACCGGCUAACUUCGUG